CCUACGGGAGGCAGCAGUGGGGAAUUUUGGACAAUGGGCGAAAGCCUGAUCCAGCAAUGCCGCGUGCAGGAAGAAGGCCUUCGGGUUGUAAACUGCUUUUGUACGGAACGAAACGGUCUGCUUUAAUACAGUGGGCUAAUGACGGUACCGUAAGAAUAAGCACCGGCUAACUACGUGCCAGCAGCCGCGGUAAUACGUAGGGUGCGAGCGUUAAUCGGAAUUACUGGGCGUAAAGCGUGCGCAGGCGGUUAUAUAAGACAGUUGUGAAAUCCCCGGGCUCAACCUGGGAAUUGCAUCUGUGACUGUAUAGCUAGAGUACGGUAGAGGGGGAUGGAAUUCCGCGUGUAGCAGUGAAAUGCGUAGAUAUGCGGAGGAACACCGAUGGCGAAGGCAAUCCCCUGGACCUGUACUGACGCUCAUGCACGAAAGCGUGGGGAGCAAACAGGAUUAGAUACCCUGGUAGUCCACGCCCUAAACGAUGUCAACUGGUUGUUGGGUGCAUUAGUACUCAGUAACGAAGCUAACGCGUGAAGUUGACCGCCUGGGGAGUACGGCCGCAAGGUUGAAACUCAAAGGAUUGACGG
rnacentral:rRNA from 1 species